rnacentral:rRNA from 1 species
GAUGAACGCUAGCGAUAGGCUUAACACAUGCAAGUCGAGGGGCAGCAUGGUCUUAGCUUGCUCAGCCUGAUGGCGACCGGCGCACGGGUGCGUAACGCGUAUGCAACUUGCCUCACAGAGGGGGAUAACCCGUCGCAAGACGGACUAAUACCGCGUACACUCUAUGUUGGGCAUCCAAUGUCGAGGAAAUGUAAUUCGCUGUGAGAUAGGAAUGCGUCUCAUUAGCUUGUUGGUGAGGUAACGGCUCACCAAGGCGACGAUGGGUAGGGGAACUGAGGGGUUGACACACAGGACUGGUACUGAGACACAGACCAGACUCGGAGGCGAGGCAGCAGAGAGGAAUAUUAGGCAAUGGACGAGGGCCUAGACCAGCCGAGUCGCGUGAAAGAUGACUGUCUUAUGGAUUGUAAACUUCUUUUAUACGGGAGUAGCAAGAGCAACGUGUGGCUCCCUGCAGGUACCGUAUGAAUAAGCAUCGGCUAACUACGUG